rnacentral:rRNA from 1 species
UACGGGGGGGGCAAGCGUUGUUCGGAAUUACUGGGCGUAAAGGGCUCGUAGGUGGUCAACUAAGUCGGACGUGAAAUCCCUCGGCUUAACCGGGGAACUGCGUCCGAUACUGGAUGACUUGAGUUCGGGAGAGGGAUGCGGAAUUCCAGGUGUAGCGGUGAAAUGCGUAGAUAUCUGGAGGAACACCGGUGGCGAAGGCGGCUCUCUGGGACGGUACUGACGCUGAGACGCGAAAGCGUGAGGAGCGAACAGGAUUAGAAAACC